UACGUAGGGUGCAAGCGUUGUCCGGAAUUAUUGGGCGUAAAGAGCUCGUAGGCGGUUUGUCGCGUCUGCCGUGAAAGUCCGGGGCUCAACUCCGGAUCUGCGGUGGGUACGGGCAGACUAGAGUGCGGUAGGGGAGACUGGAAUUCCUGGUGUAGCGGUGAAAUGCGCAGAUAUCAGGAAGAACACCCGUGGCGAAGGCGGCUCUCUGGUACGUGACUGACGCUGAGACGCGAAAGCGUGGGGAGCGAACAGG
rnacentral:rRNA from 1 species